rnacentral:rRNA from 1 species
CCCUAUGGGGUGCGUUUGAGCCAGGUCUACCAGAGGGAGCGCAAACCCCUCAUCGCCUAUGUGCCUCACGAAUCCAAGUACGCCAUGCUCAUCGAGGGCUUUCAAUUGAACCGGGUACCGGUGGCUGCUUCCAUCGAAGGAGCGGUGCUUAUGGCCGAUGCCCUCCGGAGGUGCCGAUCAUGUUGACCGAUGCAAUGCAAGCAAUCAUUCAAAAUUCCCGGGACACGGGCUGGAUCAUGGAGCCGGAGGCCAAGCGACUCAUGAGCCUUUAUGGGAUCGAUAUUCCCUCUUACGCCUGGGUGCGCCGCCACGCUGAGGUGAAGCCUGCGGCGGAGCGUCUCGGUUUUCCCCUUGCCGCAAAGGUGGUCUCCCCGAAGAUCGUCCACAAGUCCGACGUGGCGGGGGAGC